rnacentral:sRNA from 1 species
UUAUAGUCAGGAAAAAUGUUGUUCCAAUUGACAGGAAAACUGAUUCAGCCUCUGCACAGUGAUUUCCUAGAGAUCAGAAUCCAGGGGGCAUUAAGAUUUUAAACCAGAGUAUGUAGUCAGGUAUAGACACUGGAGGAUUUCCACUGUGCUGAAUUCGAUGCUGCUGAAGAAGUGGCAUCCAGGAUGAGGGAUUUUGAAGGGAGGGGCGGAUGGAGUAGUAACUUAAACUAAUGAGGCUCAUACUUUUUCCCCCCCAGACUUCUGAACGAACAGUGAAUCUAUUACUGAGGAAAACCAGAGGAAGCCUGUGUAGAUAGGUAUCAAUUAGAUACCAACUACUGGAAGAGCUUUCUCAGAGACUGAUUAAAAAAUUCUCCACUAGAUAUGGCUGCAAAUUGCACAUCCUCAUGGCGUCUAGGAGAAUCCUGCAACAGACCUGGGUUGGAGCUGCCACGGUCUAUGGCAUCCUCAGAAACUCAACUUGGAAAUCACGACGUGGACCCUGAGAUUUCUCACGUGAACUUCAGGAUGUUCAGCUGCCCGAAGGAGUCGGACCCCAUCCAGGCUCUGAGGAAACUCACUGAGCUGUGCCAUCUGUGGCUGAGGCCCGACCUCCACACCAAAGAGCAGAUCCUGGACAUGCUGGUGAUGGAGCAGUUCAUGAUCUCCAUGCCCCAGGAGCUCCAGGUCUUAGUCAUGAUGAACGGUGUGCAGAGCUGCAAAGACCUGGAGGACCUGCUACGAAAUAACAGAAGACCCAAGAAAUGGGUGAGUGGGACCCUCGUGAUAGGUGCAGGGAAGGGGAGCUGGGAUGGGGGCUGCACGGUGCAGCUGGACUCAAGAGGACCCGAGGGGCUGCUCUAGGUCAGGACUUCCAAGUAGAGGAGAGUUUGCCCGUCAGGGACACAUGGCAGUGUCUGGGGACAGUUUUUGGUUGUCAUAAGGGGGGAGGACAGGAGAUGCUGCUAAGCAUUCUCCAAUGCUCAGGACAACCCACCAUGACAAAUAAUCAUCCAGAUUCAAUUAUCUGGAUGACGGCAAGUUCCUGGUGUAGGAGAUGGACAGGCAGAGGGGCUACAGGGACCCACACACUGUGUGAGGCCAACAUGA